rnacentral:rRNA from 1 species
GACGAACGCUGGCGGCGUGCUUAACACAUGCAAGUCGAACGGAAAGGCCCUGCUUUUGUGGGGUGCUCGAGUGGCGAACGGGUGAGUAACACGUGAGUAACCUGCCCUUGACUUUGGGAUAACUUCAGGAAACUGGGGCUAAUGCCGGAUAGGAGCUCCUGCUGCAUGGGGGGGGUUGGAAAGUGUCGGCGGUUGGGGAUGGACUCGCGGCUUAUCAGCUUGUUAGUGGGGUAGGGGCAUACCAAGUCUUUGACGGGUAGCCGGCCUGAGAGGGUGACCGGGCACAUUGGGCCUGAGGUAGGCACCAGACGGCUACGGGAGGCAGCAGGGGGAAGUAUUGCACAAUGGGCCGAAGCCUGAUGCGGAAAUGCCGCGUGCGGGAUGCCGGCCUUCGGGUUGUAAACCGCUGUCGCCGGUGACGAAGCGUGAGUGACGGUAAUGGGUAAAGAAGCACCGGCUAACUACGUG